UUCCUGGACCCUCAUCCGUGGCGCUUGGUAUGUUGUGCAGGCCACUCCCUGUGUGAAUGGCAACUUUUCACACAUGCAAAGGUCUCUGCUGCCAUCGCACGUUCACAGAGGAGACUGAAGGCGCCUGAGUGCCAUGGGAGUUCAUUUCAGUCUGCAUUAUCACAAAAAAGCGAGCAGAUCUACAGAGCAUGCUGAAAAUGGAUCUUCUGUGUUGGGGCAAUGGUGAGCUGGGUCAGACCGGACGUGGAUGCCAGAGACCCAGAG